GCUGCAGCUGCCUUGUCUCCCUGCUGACGAGGGUGUGGAUGAAGCCUGCCUUGCUGAGGAGCCCCUCAGGGUUGAGCAGCUGGAGGAAGUUGAGAUAAGAGGUCUGGAAGGCGCUCCUGUGCAGGUGGAAGAGGAGACAGCUGAAGCUGCUGAAACCGAUGCUGAAGCUUCAGACGCCUUGCCCUUUGCUUGAAGCUCCCUGCAGCUCCUAGCAGCAUGGCCAGGCGGGCCCAGGACGUCGAGCUGGACCUGCUGGUGCAUGCCAGGCCGCUGGCUGGCAGGGACCCCUCCCCUCCUGCCCAGGGGGCUCUAGAGCAGCUCCCCAAUGUCCCCAGCUACAGAGCUGCCGCCCGCACCCCCGUCCUUGCCAGCGCAACAAAGGCUGGAGCUGUCAACCCCAACUUUUGCACUGAGGAGCAAUCCCCACUAGGUAUUAGAGAUGUUGGCUUUGACCAUGUUGGCGUAGUUACAGGGGGAUGAUUCCUGGUGUAGCUGCUUUUUUUGUUGC